rnacentral:tRNA from 1 species
GAGGUCUUGGUGUAGUGAGAGCACGCGAGGAUGUGACCCUCGAAGCACCGGUUUGAUUCCGGUAGAUCACCCCA